GUGGCAAUCAGAACUUACACAUCGUUCACUGUAGUUCAUGCCAUUUGCAUGAAACUGACAUAAGCUGACACUCUGCUGUAUAUCUUGGCACAAUAUUGCUUUCAUCUCUGGAGUCGGGUGUCUUACAAAUUUAACAUUGUCAGUUGGGACCGUCCAAAGAUAUUUACAGGAGGCAUUGGAGAAGGUUUAUCUAAUGACUGACAUCUGACGCAUAAGGUGCAGGCACACUUACUCAGGGUGCGAAUAUUUACUGAGUGUCUCUGUGGGGCCAUACACUACUCUAGGCACUGGACAUACACCAGUAAAGAGAAGCUGUCCUCAUCUGUCUUAUUUUCUGGUCUUAAAUCUAAAGCCAAGAGGCAUUUAGCAGCACAAAUCCUCUUCAGCAGUCAACACUCCCAAAGUUUCAGGCACUGAGGAAAAUAAAAACAAAACUGUGGCCCUUUCCCAAGAAGCGCACAGUGUCCACAAGAAUGUGAAAGCCAUCUGGAAACUGAUAAACUGCAAAAAGCUCAGCCAUCUUCUGUUGGCAAAAUAAAAGAAUGGAUGUCCUUGGAAGAACGAUGUCCUUGGAAAGUCAUCAAAUAAAAAUGUGAGAGAAACACAGCCAUUAGAAGCUAAACAGCUUGGGACACCCUUGUUUACACAGCACGAUCACUGUAAUAUUUUGAAGUAAAUUGUUGUUUUUAAAAUCCAAUAAAAUCUACUUUCCAUUCACCUUGAAAA
rnacentral:lncRNA from 1 species